rnacentral:rRNA from 1 species
GUAGCGGCGAGCGAACGGGGAGCAGCCCAGAGUCAGCAUGAAUAUUUACCGCAGGAGAAGGGUCUGGAAAGGCCGGCAAUAAAGGGUGAUAGCCCCGUAUCUGAAGCGGUAAGUGUUGUGAACUCGAAGAGUAGGGCGGGACACGUGUUAUCCUGUCUGAAUAUGGGGGGACCAUCCUCCAAGGCUAAAUACUCCUGACUGACCGAUAGUGAACCAGUACCGUGAGGGAAAGGCGAAAAGAACCCCGGCGAGGGGAGUGAAAUAGAACCUGAAACCGUGUACGUACAAGCAGUGGGAGCACCCGAAAGGGUGUGACUGCGUACCUUUUGUAUAAUGGGUCAGCGACUUAUAUUCUGUAGCAAGGUUAACCGCAUAGGGGAGCCGUAGGGAAACCGAGUCUUAACUGGGCGUUAAGUUGCAGGGUAUAGACCCGAAACCCGGUGAUCUAGCCA